UGGAUCAACAGCAAAAAACAAAUGUGAGGAAGGCUGAACUUGAUGGACGCAAGUCUCUUUUCAGCUAUGUAACUAUGUAACUAUGUAGAGUCCUCCAUAGUCUUGCAACUGUGCAUAAACCUUCUAUUCGGCCACCACUAACAUUGGGCAGAAAAAUACCUGAAGACUAAUUUUCAAACAGUCCUGUUCACUGAUGAGUGCCGUGCAACCCUGGAUGGUCCAGAUGGAUGGAGUAGUGGAUGGUUGGUGGACGGCCACCCUGUUCCAACAAGGCUGCGACGUCAGCAAGGCGGUGGUGGAGUCAUAUUUUGGGCCGGAAUCAUGGAGCUGGUCAGCCCUUUUAGAGUCCCCGAAGGUGUAAAGAUGACCUCUGCAAAGUAUGUGGAGUUUCUGACUGACCACUUUCUUCCCUGGUACAGAAGGAAGAACUAUGCUUUCCGUAAUAAAAUCAUCUUCAUGCAUGACAAU